GCCGUAGGGUUGAACUAACAACCAUCUGGUUACUGCCGUAGGGUUGAACUAACAACCAUCUGGUUACUGCCGUAGGGUUGAACUAACAACCAUCUGGUUACUGCCGUAGGGUUGAACUAACAACCAUCUGGUUACUGCCAGAGGGUUGAACUAACAACCAUCUGGUUACUGCCAGAACGUUGAACUAACAACCAUCUGGUUACUGCCAGAACGUUGAACUAACAACCAUCUGGUUACUGCCGUAGGGUCGGACUAACAACUGUCUGGUUACUGCCGUAGGGUUGAACUAACGACCAUCUGGUUACUGCCAGAACGUUGAACUAACAACCAUCUGGUUACUGCCGUAGGGUCGGAGUCCUCUGAGAUACUGAGGCUUCUGGUGUCUCUAAGCCAUCAGUUCUUGUAGUUUAAAAGACAUCAUUAGUGAAGACAGCACUCAUAGUUUCCAGUGACUGUUGUUCGUUGUCAUGGUGCCAGAAACAGGUUUUAUGUUCCAUUCCCAUGUGAACUUCACAUGAUUCAUCAGUAAGGCUUUAAAACACAUGUUCAGGCCUACAAUAGUAAAAGUAAUUCUGUUAAAUGUUGUUAUGCUCAUUGUGUACCAAUUUCUUCAAAAUAUCCAGAUGACGAGAAAAAUGGGAGAAAAGGUGUUUUUAUUACUUUUUUGAAAUUUGUUCGAUCUACAUUUGAUUCAUUUUUGUUAUUACAGUGUUUUGCAUCUUCAGGAUGCCCCGCCCACAUGGGCCAAUACGACUGGUUCAAAGACUGUUAACAUCGAUUUACAAUCAUGACACUGGUUCUCUCAGUAACUCUCUGAUUGGUUAAUACAGCCCCUUGUGUUACAGCUUUAAUUUAAAAUGGAUUCAAUUUAGAUUAUUUUUCUCCACUGGGCCUACACACAAUACUCCACCAUCCAUUUUUUUGACAAAAAAAAAAAUGAAAAGCUGAAAUGUCAUGAGUCAAGUAUUCAACCCCAUUGUUA